GACACGUGUUCUGUGGUCCUGGUGCU
rnacentral:piRNA from 1 species